UACAGGGGGUGCAAACGUUGCUCGGAAUCAUUGGGCGUAAAGCGCGCGUAGGCGGCCUCAUAAGUCCGUUGUGAAAGUCAAAGGCUCAACCUUUGAAAGCCGAUGGAUACUGUGAGGCUAGAGUCCGGAAGAGGCGAGUGGAAUUCCUGGUGUAGCGGUGGAAUGCGCAGAUAUCAGGAGGAACACCAAUAGCGAAGGCAGCUCGCUGGGACGGUACUGACGCUAAGGCGCGAAAGCGUGGGGAGCGAACAGG
rnacentral:rRNA from 1 species